CCUACGGGUGGCAGCAGUCGAGAAUCAUUCACAAUGGGGGAAACCCUGAUGGUGCGACGCCGCGUGGGGGAAUGAAGGUCUUCGGAUUGUAAACCCCUGUCAUGUGGGAGCCACUUAAAAAGAUAGUACCACAAGAGGAAGCGGCGGCUAACUCUGUGCCAGCAGCCGCGGUAAUACAGAGGUCUCAAGCGUUGUUCGGAAUCACUGGGCGUAAAGCGUGCGUAGGCUGUUUCGUAAGUCGUGUGUGAAAGGGGCGGGCUCAACCCGCGGACGGCACAUGAUACUGCGAGACUAGAGUAAUGGAGGGGGAACCGGAAUUAUCGGUGUAGCAGUGAAAUGCGUAGAUAUCGAGAGGAACACUCGUGGCGAAGGCGGGUUCCUGGACAUUAACUGACGCUGAGGCACGAAGGCCAGGGGAGCGAAAGGGAUUAGAUACCCGGGUAGUC
rnacentral:rRNA from 1 species